rfam:Aedes albopictus isolate Foshan contig154382, whole genome shotgun sequence.
CAAACGGUUCUUUUCAGGACCAUAGAAAAUUAUUCCUCAAAGAGUUGU